GUCCCGCAGUUUAAUCCCAUGAAUCAGGAGGCAAGUCCUGAACAAGCAAAUUGAAAAAAUAAAGUACAGUUUCUUUUAAUAGUUGUUAUUCUAACAGAUUUUAUUUAGUUCUGUUUAAUGAAGUUCUUUGUGCUACCCAACCAAUAGCUCAUAUACACAUUGUUUUACUAAAGUAAACAUAAAGAAUAGAAUACCAUCCCCAAAAGAAAUCUUUAUUGCAGAUUUCCUUGCAGAAAUUUGUCCUGUUAAUUGCUGCAUACUGGGAAUAUGUAUUAACUCUGUGUGUGUGUUUGUGGUGGGGGGAGGGAGAUAGUAAAAUUGAUUUUAUUACUGCAUUCUGAAGAUAUUUUGGUGUUAAUUGGGGUUACUCUGUUUGUAAACAGUGCUUCUUGGGAAAAUUGUGGGAUUAAUGGUCUAUGGUCUGGUAGUGUAGUUUUGUCUUUUCUCAGAUCCAGCCCUGCAGAGUGUUAACACCUUUCCUAGGAGGUUUGGAUAAGUGAAAUUAUAUGGAUAUAGAAUUUCUUUCGGUGCAAAUGAAUGAGGAAAAGAGGCAAUCGAGAUUCUAGUCCAGGGAGGACAUUUGGAUAGAGGGGGAAUUAUUUGAAUGAAGGAAAACUGGAGUCCAAACUUCAUUGAUUCAGUGAGCAGGAAUCUGAUGUUCUGAUAUUGGUAUUAGAAUUAAACAUACAUUAUGCCAUCUAUUUAUUUAACACUUCAAACUUACCCUGUAGGAAAGAUGCAUAUAGAUCUUACUAUGACUCACUUUAAUAACACAUGAUAAUCAAGUAUAAUGCCAUUUGUUUCUCCCAAUAAAGGUAAAAAAUCAAUACUAAAAUGAAGACUUGCAUUAUAAGGUCUUUGGGGCCCUGAAAAAAGACUUUCACCAGGGCUUUCCAAGACAGCCAUGUAUGAAGAAACCAUGAAAUGGGUGGUAGUGGUGGGAUGUCAGGGGGAUAAGAUCAGGGGUCCUAUUACUGAGCCCAGGGAGAAGCCUGGACAGAGUGGGGAAACAGAACUGCAAUAGGGGUGAUUGUAAUAGUCACUUGUUGAUAAAUACCUACUUUAAAGCAGCAUGUGCCAGACACGGUGCUAGGCUCCCUACCUGUACCACAUGAGAUAAAGACAUUCUUGCAAAGUAGUUCCGGCUUUCAUUUUAAAGAUAGGAAAACUGAGGCUCAGAGAGUUUAAAUGAUUUAGGCUUAUCUUCCUGCUGCAAUCUCACUCCAUUUAUUAAAUACUUAUAUGAUUUAUACCUAUGAAAAGAAUAAUGAUAAAUUAUGUUUGUUUUGUUAUCUAAACCAGCACUUGCUAUUACUCAUUUUCAAAUGAGGACCCUAAAAAUGAGAAAUACAAAUAUUUGGUUUUGCCUACCUUGUCAGUUGCAAUGCAAAAUCAUGUUAGUCUACACUGGCAGUGAUGGCGAACCUUUUGAGCUCGGCCAGUCAGCAUUUUGAAAAACACUAACUUAACUUUGGUGCCGUGUCACAUACAGAAAUUUUUUGAUAUUUGCGACCAUAGUAAAACAAAGAUUUAUAUUUUUGAUAUUUAUUUUAUAUAUUUAAAUGCCAUUUAACAAAGAAAAAUCAACCAAAAAAAUGAGUUCGCAUGUCACCUCUGACACGCGUGUCAUAGGUUCGCCAUCACUGGUCUACAGUAUAACUGCUGGUAAUUCUUGUUGGCUCAUCUCUUACUCUGCUGCCUUCAUUGUUUAAGUGCUUUCUAAAAUUAGUUCCUCCUCAUUUUCCAAAUUCUAUCCACAAAAUAACAGGAAACAAGUUAUUUCCAGAAAGGUAAAUGGAUUUCCUUGCUUACAGUUUUACCACAGUAUAAAAUAAGCCUUUUAGAAUUAGCCCUUUCUGAAAGGGAUGUUUUUUUAAUGUGGCUUUUAAUAUAUCAAAAUUUUAAUAAUGAUUGUAGUUGGUAGUUAGGACUUGAGGUACUUAUUUUCACUAUUGAUAUUAGAUUGAACAAUCUGAAACUGUCAAAUAUUGUUUAGUCUAAAUUUUCUAAAGAGGAUAUAUUCAUGUGGAAGAUGUCACAGGUAGGGCUGACUCCAGGCACAGUAUUUCUGGGCUCUGGCUUCUUUUCUCCAUGAUCCCCUUGGUUCUGCCCAUUUUCAUGUGUUGGCUUCAUGGUAUUUAAGUUACAUGUAUUAUGACAACUUUUAAUUUGUUAUUGUUACUCAUUUUUAGGCUGACAGUAAGAUGAUGCCAGCAGUUCCUAUAAUGACAUUCAGAAUGCUAGCUUUCCCUAGAAGUUAGGCACUAGCUCUCUUGUAACUAUUUCUUAGAAAUGAGAAAAAUUUCCCUAGAAACUCUUAACAGAAUUGUUUUCUGGAAGUGACUUGCUGCUUGUUAUUUGUUUUUGUUUUUUAUAUCAUUGGUCAUGUAAUCAUUUCUAAACUAAGCCUGGGCAGUCCUAGCCGGUUUGGCUUAGUGGAUAGAAUGUCAGCCUGUGAGCUAAAGGGUCCCGGGUUAGAUUCUGGUCGAGGGCAGAUGCCCAGGUUGUGGGCUCUAUCCCCAGUAGGGGGCAUGCAAGAGGCAGCUGAUCAUUGAUUCUCAUCAUUGAUGUUUCUCUCUUUCUCUCUCUCCCUUCCUCUCUGAAAUCAAUAAAAAUAUAUUAAAAAUAAAAUAACCCAGGGAGGGGGGAAAAUCAAAGUGCCAUGAUUAGAUCAGAAUUGUCUUUGGGGAUUGAUUGGAUAUUAAAGAGUUAACCACCAUUACCACUAUAUCUAGUAAUUUAAGCAUUGAGGUUAAUACAGUCUAAUAGGGAAAAUUGGUAGGUAUGUGGAAAAAAUUAACUUGAGCAGCUUGGUUACCUUCCCUUGAAUUUGCAAUUGAUAUUCUAAUUUUAUAUAUUAAAGGCAUUUUGUUUAGUUAUGGAAACAUUUUACACAAAAGAAUUAUAAAACUAAAAAACAAAUAACAAUUAUUUAACUAUUAUGUAGAAUGCUUCAGCCUUCUUAGAAAUUUUGAUGAGGAAUCUAAGAACAUAUUCUGAUUAAAAACUACUUGCAUUUUCCUCAAGUGAAACAAUAUAUUUUAUAUAUUUAACAUAAUUUAAAAAUAUUGGGAACAAAUACUCAUAACCAAUAUCAAAAAUGCAAUUUAAAACAGUGCUUUACAACACAAAACAACAAAUGGGAACAAUACCUUCUUGCUAUUUUGUUUGAUUUCUACCAAACAGCAAAAUUAUUAUUAUUUUAUAAUCUACACUAAAGGGAAUUUUGACAAUUCUAGCAACUUCUAAAAGCUAGUAAUUCUAUUACUUCAAGGCUAUUCUAAUAAUUUUUGCCAAGUUUGUAAUUUUUAAAGUUCUUAAAUUUUCUUUUCAGCUACUUCUAUUCUGCAUCAUUAAGUUUAAUAUUGUAUUGUAUGUGUUCACUACAUUUGUAGGCAGUGUUACUUGACCACAAAAUAUUUUCUGUUUUUUAACAUCAGCAUAUCACAAUCAGAAGGCAGAUUCAAGUGUUUAUCCAGAAAGCCUCAUUAAAAAGAUUUUAUUUAAAGUUGUCAAUUGGGCCCUAGCUGGUUUGGCUCAGUGGAUAUAGCGUUGGUGUGCCGACUGACGGUUCGGUUCCAGUCAGGGGCACAUGACCAGGUUGUGGGAUCGAUCCCCAGUGUAAGGCGUGCAGGAGGCAGCCAAUCAGUGAUUCUCUCUCAUCAUUGAUGUUUCUGUCUCUCUCUCUCUCCCUCUUCCUUCCUCUCUGAAAUCAAUAAAAAAUAUAUA